rnacentral:rRNA from 1 species
UACGUAGGUGGCAAGCGUUGUCCGGAUUUAUUGGGUUUAAAGGGUGCGUAGGCGGCCUUAUAAGUCAGUGCUGAAAUAUCCCGGCUUAACCGGGAGGGUGGCAUUGAUACUGUAGGGCUUGAGUGUAGUCGAGGUAGGCGGAAUUGACGGUGUAGCGGUGAAAUGCGUAGAUAUCUGGAGGAACACCGGUGGCGAAGGCGGCAUUCUGGACCAAUACUGACGCUGAGGAGCGAAAGCCAGGGGAGCAAACGGG